GCGCGGGUUAGGAAGCAAGACUGAGGGGCCUCAGACCGAGCUUUUGGAAAAUAGAAAAGUCUCGCUCUCUGCCCCUCAGCCUAACUUCCUUUAU
rnacentral:lncRNA from 1 species